ensembl:misc_RNA Metazoa_SRP Metazoan signal recognition particle RNA
GCCGGGUGCGGUGGCAUGUGCCUGUAGUCCAAGUCACUGGGAGGCUGAGGUUGGUGGAUCAAGUGAGCUGAGGAGCUCUGGGCUGCAGCAUUCUAUGUCGAACGGGUGUCCACGCUAAGUUCGGUAUCGAUAUGGUGUUCCUGGGGGAGCCCGGGACCAACAGGUCGUCUAAGGAGGGGUGAACCGGCCCAGGUCGGAAACGAAGCAGGUCAAAUCCCCCGUGCUGUCCAGUAGUGGGAUAAUACCUGUGAGUAGAUGCUGCAGUGCAGCCUUGGCAAAACAUCGAGACCUAAUAUUUU